rnacentral:rRNA from 1 species
AGUGGGGAAUAUUGGACAAUGGGCGAAAGCCUGAUCCAGCAAUGCCGCGUGAGUGAUGAAGGCCUUAGGGUUGUAAAGCUCUUUUACCCGGGAUGAUAAUGACAGUACCGGGAGAAUAAGCUCCGGCUAACUCCGUGCCAGCAGCCGCGGUAAUACGGAGGGAGCUAGCGUUGUUCGGAAUUACUGGGCGUAAAGCGCGCGUAGGCGGCUUAUCAAGUCAGGGGUGAAAUCCCGGGGCUCAACCCCGGAACUGCCCUUGAAACUGGUUGGCUAGAAUCCUGGAGAGGCGAGUGGAAUUCCGAGUGUAGAGGUGAAAUUCGUAGAUAUUCGGAAGAACACCAGUGGCGAAGGCGACUCGCUGGACAGGUAUUGACGCUGAGGUGCGAAAGCGUGGGAAGCAAA